AGGGAAAUGUUUUAUGUUUGAUAUAAAUUAUUAAAGGAAAUAAAAAGAAAUGGAGGAAUGAUGCGUUGAUUUUGUUAUUUUUUUUAUAAAUAGAAGAAAAAGGAAGGAAAUGAUAAGAAUUUUUUUUUUCUUUAUUUUCACACUUUACCAAACAUGGUCCCAAAGAAAACCCUACGAAUGAAGACAGUUCGAUACACUGGGGGAGAGAGAGUGAAACACUGAUAAAUAACUUUAAACGAAAAAUUGAUGGAGAGAGAUAGGGAUCAACCCUACAACAAGUAAUCCCAUUGUAUGAGAAGCACGGGAUGAUUUAGUUCUACGUCUCACAUAUUUAUUCUCAAAUGAGGACCAUUGGCACAGCUUCUUCAGUGACAAGACCGUACUUUCGUGCUCCCAUAUGGUAUCCGCUGGAUCUGUCAUCAGAACUACUGCAAAAAAAGGCUGUUCAGUUCAAGGAAUGUUUAAACGCGAGGGGAAGUUACUUCUCCGGUCAAGAUAUUUACGGUGAUGCACUUUUGGCAUCCGUUGGGUACACAUGAAGAUGUAUCGUUGUGUACAUAUUACAGGAUAUUUAUUGGUAAGAUACCUAGUGGAGUUUACAAGACGUCCAGAAAUGAAAUACUUGCAGUAGAGUUGCCUGCAGCAUUCACUACGAGAACAAAUUGGCAGGAGUCUCCUCUUUGUAUUUUGCCGUCAGCACCAUUUUUCCGAACCUCCCUUCUCUACUACGAGUGAUCCCUUAGAAUCAGUGCUACGGUUACCUGGUUCACACGAGGUUGAAGGUUACCGAGUCAGGUAUCAGAAUCCGAUGGAGGUGUCAAUGAAUCAGUGGGAUCCAAGUAACAUUAUAGAUGUGGAAUAAAAAUAUUUUUCAAGCAUUCACCAAAAGAAUCUUAUAAGAAGCAUAGUGAUGCUAUCCAGAAUACUUUUUUGAGUUCUCUCAUUGUUGAACACAUAUUUAAAGCAACUAGAGAUGUCUUUAGAUAAGCUGACCUCCUCAGGAGAUGUUAUUGGCAUUCAAUUUUAUCCCCAGGACUUUUUAAUGAAGUUUGCUUUGUGCCUACUUGUACAUAAUGUUUGGCAGAGUAUUCGGACGUAAGGAGGCAGAGUAUUACAUUUGAAAUCGGUUAAUCAAAUAGAUGCAGUGGGAGGUGUGUGCCCUGCAAACAUUGAAGGUCCAGAAUCUGGAGUCUCUCCAUCCAAUGGGUGUUUAGCUUGUACUCUAUAUAUUCCUUUGCUAACAGAAGGAGAGGUUAUGAAAGAACUUCUUGAAAGUAGUGAAGAGUUUGAGUUUGAGUUUGAGAUAGGGUUCUGAGCAGUGAUCACCGGUCUCGAAGGAGUUGUGACACAGAUGUCAGUGGGUCAACUCUGCUUGUUUAUACAUGUAUAUUUUUUUUAAUGUCAAUUUCAUGAGAUUGUAUAGGGAGCUAGCCAGAUCUAGAAUAAUGGAACUUUGACCGAAGAAAAUUUUCUUUUCAUUUAAAUGUUGGAUAUAUGCAUUAACCUGUGGGUUGAAGUUGAGGGGCUGGAAAUUGUUUGCCUCCCUUUUUUUUGUAAAAGAUUUGAAAACAAAAAUUCCUUGUCAUUCUGGUCAGGUGGUAGCACCAAUGUUGGAUACAAGCAAUGUAUCCAUAAUUUGAUUAUUGUCGUGUUGCUCUACUAUGCUGGAAAUAACUACUAGUUUAUGGAAGAAGUUCCUGCUGACAUGGGUAAAUGGACAUGCACAAAUUGAUUUUUAGAUGAGGUUUUCUAGUGUUGCAGCAUGCAGAUGAACAGUUUCAAAUGAGAAACAACGGUUAUCUUAUCAUCGGAUUAUUUUGUUCCAUAUUGAUGCAGAGAACCAUGCAUUACACUUGGCUUUUGUGUAACAAUUUUCCAAAUUUGAUGUUAAAGAGUGGAGAUUGAUAUCCAUGUUCAUUGCAAGAUGAUUUUGGAUGUGGUUCUGGGAGUUUUACUGGAUUCUUUGUUAGACUAUCCAACUUCUCUGAAUAGAAGAGUC